GUUCUUUGAGGUCACAGCCAUCUAUGACUUACUAUGGAAUUCUUUUGAAAAGGAGCCCCUGACUGUUCUUCUGUCUUGGUACAGCUGACAUACAUGGGAAUGGAUCAAAGUGCUGCUUGUUUGUGUACAAAUGCCAAUUUGCCAAAUGCUGUUUUUUUUCUUUUUUCUGACAUGUUUCAAAUAUUUUCUUUGUCUGGAUCCAUUGGUAACUUCUGAGCCUGCUGUUUUCCAGGCUCUCUCAUAGGCACUGGAAAAAGCUCUGAGGUCUCCCUGGAGCCUUUUCUUCUCCAGGCUGAAGAUCCCCAGCUGUCCCAGCCUCCCUCCAUAUCAGAGGUGCUCCAGCCCCUGGAGCAUCUUCAUGGCCUCCUAUGGAUUUUCUCCAAUAGCUCCACAUCCUUCUUGUAUUGUGAGCCUCAGAGAUGGACACAGAGCUCCAUGUGGGACAUGAUGACUCCAGAUUUUUUGCAUUUAGGUGGCUGGAUCACAACUGUACAGGAUUACUAUCUUCUGUGUGUUGAGGAGCAGCUCCUGAGUACAGCAUGAACACCCCACCUUCACAGCAUUGCUGAGGAGUUAAUUCAGAUGCUGUGAUCUGCACACAGAAUUCUUUCAAUUAAGAUAAAAAAAGUAUGCCUGUUAUCUGUAAUGA